UUUUGCAUGGGUGUUGUCAGGUUAUGUUCUGAGAGGUGGGGUUAUUUUCCGCUAUGAGCGCAACCCUUGCUAUUUGUUACCAUCAUUUAGUUGGGAACUCUAAAGGGGAAGGCCGGUGCUAAGCCGGAGGAAGGUGGGGAUGACGUCAAGUCCUCAUGGCCCUUACAGGGUGGGCUACACACGUGCUACAAUGGCGACUACAGAGGGUUAAUCCUUAAAAGUCGUCUCAGUUCGGAUUGUCCUCUGCAACUCGAGGGCAUGAAGUUGGAAUCGCUAGUAAUCGCGGAUCAGCA
rnacentral:rRNA from 1 species